GAUGAACGCUGGCGGCGUGCCUAAUACAUGCAAGUCGAGCGAACAGACGAGGAGCUUGCUCCGCGGACGUUAGCGGCGGACGGGUGAGUAACACGUGGAUAACCCACCUAUAAGACUGGUAUAACUUCGGGAAACCGGAGCUAAUACCGGAUAAUAUAUUGAACCGCAUGGGUCAAUAGUGAAAGACGGUGGUGCUGUCACGUAUAGAGGGAUCCGCGCCGCAUUAGCUAGUUGGUAAGGUAACGGCUUACAAAGGCAACGAGGCGUAGCCGACGUGAGAGGGGGAUCGCCCACACUGGAACUGAGACACGGUCCAGACUCCUACGGGAGGCCGCAGUAGGGAACCUUCCGCAAUGGGCGAAAGCCUGACGGAGCAACGCCGCGUGAGUGAUGACGGUCUUCGGAUCGUGAUACUCUGUUAUUAGGGAAGAACAACUGUCUACGUAACUAUGCACGUCUUGACGGUACCUAGUCAGAAAGCCACGGCUAACUACGUG
rnacentral:rRNA from 1 species